CCAAUAGCGUAUAUUAAAGUUGUUGCAGUUAAAAAGCUCGUAGUUGAAUUUCGGGACCAAUAUGUCGGUCGUGCCUCGGUACGUACUGGCAUCGUUGGUUUCUCCCUUCUGACGAACUAUGAUGUCAUUAAUUUGGUGUCAUGGGGAAUCAGGACUGUUACUUUGAAAAAAUUAGAGUGUUUAAAGCAGGCUCACGCUUGAAUACAUUAGCAUGGAAUAAUGAAAUAGGACGUUUGAUUCUAUUUUGUUGGUUUCUAGGAUUGACGUAAUGAUUAAUAGGGAUAGUUGGGGGCAUUAGUAUUCAAUUGUCAGAGGUGAAAUUCUUGGAUUUAUUGAAGACUAACUACUGCGAAAGCAUUUGCCAAGGAUGUUUUCAUUAAUCAAGAACGAAAGUUAGGGGAUCGAAGACGAUCAGAUACCGUCGUAGUCUUAACCAUAAACUAUGCCGACUAGGGAUCGGAUGAUGUUAAUUUUUUAAUGACUCAUUCGGCGCCUUACG
rnacentral:rRNA from 1 species